ACGAGGGGGGCAAGCGUUGUUCGGAAUUAUUGGGCGUAAAGGGCGCGUAGGCGGUUUGACAAGUCUGAUGUGAUAUCUAUGGGCUCAACCCAUAGCCUGCAUUAGAAACUGUCGGGCUUGAGUAUGGGAGAGGUGAGUGGAAUUUCCGGUGUAGCGGUGAAAUGCGUAGAUAUUGGAAGGAACACCUGUGGCGAAAGCGGCUCACUGGACCAUAACUGACGCUGAGGCGCGAAAGCUAGGGGAGCAAACAGGA
rnacentral:rRNA from 1 species